rnacentral:tRNA from 1 species
GGAGAGCUGUCCGAGCUGGCCGAAGGAGCACGAUUGGAAAUCGUGUAUGCCCCAAAAGGGUAUCUAGGGUUCGAAUCCCUAGCUCUCCGCCA